rnacentral:lncRNA from 1 species
GCUAUAAUAUUUAUUCAUAUAAUAGUUUCAUAAAUUAUCCAUAUGAAUUAGAAAUUGUAAGAUUAAAUCCAUUAACAAUUCCUUGUGCAUGGUUAUGUCGAGCUUCUUAAGCUCUUUAAUAUCCUUGAUCAUUAUCAAAUAGUAAUCAUGAACAAACUACCCAUCACACAUCUCAUACGCUGUGCGACUCUGAUCAUCUCACAACUACUGC